rnacentral:rRNA from 1 species
AGUGAACGCUGGCGGCGUGCCUAAUACAUGCAAGUCGAACGAAGUGGCGCACGGGCGGGUAAUAUAUAGUUAAUCUGCCCUACACAGAGUAACAACAGUUGGAAACGAAUGCUAAUACCUCUUAGUGUAGGAUGGGACUAUAUCGUAUCAGUGAGUUGGUAAGGUAAUGGCUUACCAAGGCUAUGACACGUAACUCGUCUGAGAGGAGGAUCAGUAAGAUGGGAGCUGGGAAAGGGUCCAAGCGCUGACGGGAGAUAGCAGUAAGGGAUAGAGCGCAAAGGUGGAAACCCUGACGAAGCAGCUCCGCGUGGAGGAUGACAUUUUUCGGAGCGUAAACUCCUUUUAUAAGGAAAGCGGUACCUGAUGAAUAAGCACAGGCUAACUCCGUGCCAGCAGCCGCGGUAAUUC